rnacentral:rRNA from 1 species
UACGUAGGGCGCGAGCGUUAUCCGGAAUUAUUGGGCGUAAAGGGCUCGUAGGCGGUUUGUCGCGUCGGGAGUGAAAUCCACUGGCUUAACUGGUGGCUUGCUUUCGAUGCGGGCAGACUGGAGGCAUGCAGGGGAGAACGGAAUUCCUGGUGUAGCGGUGGAAUGCGCAGAUAUCUGAAGGAACAUCAGUGGCGAAAGCGACUUCCUGGACCAAUACUGACGCUCAUGUGCGAAAGCGUGGGGAGCAAACAGG